ACAUUUAAAGUUAUAGACAGUUGAAGGCGAUGUUUACAUGCACGUAUCAAUAAUUAUUACCCGGUUCUUUUUUCCUCAGUAGCAGGAAGGGAUGUGAAUACGAAGGCAGAAGAGCAGCAGUCCCCGCUGAUCCACAGUCUUUUGGAGCCGUUUUUAAAAGAUUUCCAACCAGGAAGUGAAAAGAAAGUCAUGUCGUUGGGGGAGACGAAGGUGGAAGCGAUGGCGUCUCUUAUUGAGCUGCUUUUGGAAACUGUGAUGGAUUUGACUUCCUCAGAGUUCAAGCGUUUUCAGCAGUUUCUCCUGAAUGAAAUUGACUUCGACAGACCUUCCUCAGACUUCCCGUGGAGGCUACUGAGCAGGAGAGACAAGCAGGACACCGUGUUUUUAAUGGUGCUGAGCUACGGCCAACAGUCUUUGACGAUGAUUAAGGAGCAUUUAAAGUAUUUCGAGAGGACCGAUCUGAAGAAUAAAUUGCCUCCAAGCAGCCCGGGACCCAAAAAGAAAAGUUCCAAAGUAGAGCGACCUGCACUGAUCCAGAAAGUAGCAACAAUGGCGGCAGUGAAACAGGUGCUUUUGGAAACCGUCACUGGUUUUAGGAACAAGGAGCUCCAGAAAUUCAAGGAGCUCCUGCAGUUGAUUGUCUCCCAGAGGGAACACCAAUGGAUCUGGUUUGGACCGAGUGACGCUGCAGACACGGUGGACGAGAUGAUGCAGACUUAUGGCCGACGCUCUCUGGAUUUAACGAGAGAAGUCAUGGAGAAAAUGAACAGGAGCGAUCUGAUGCAGAAAUUGUCAGCGUCCAGCUUAGGACUCACAGAGGAACCUUCUGUGGAAAAACAUCACGCUGCACUGUCAAAGCAAAGAUUGAAAAUACAAACAGCAGCUGUGGAAAUGAGUCUUCUACCAAAAGUCAAAGCGUUGAGUAUCGAGGAGUUUGAGAAAUUCAAGUGGCUGCUGCAGUUCACGUACUUCAAGAAGAGUCUCCCGAACAUCUCAUGGAGCACACUGGAAUGGGCAGAAACUGCAUAUCAACUCGUAGUGCUGAUGGAGCACAAGCCACAGUCUCUUGAGGUGACCGAGGAGGUUCUAAUGGACAUGAGGAUCGUCCCAGAGGAGACGUUGCCAGAGACCAGCUGGGGACUCAAAGAGUUGGGAUGGAAAAGUUCUGAAGAAAUUCCUAUUUCCUCCCCUAUACCGAGCAAAUCACGACGAUACCGUACGACGAGAUAUAGAAAGAUAAAACGUUGGUCGGAGAAGGUUUUAAAGGAGAUGGAAUCAUCACUGAGUUCAUCUAAUACCAGCUCAGGAUUCAAAGUGAAUGAAGGAUACUGGGAGUUGUUGGGUUGAGGGAUCCUCCACCGUGACACAUUUUGAG
ensembl:lncRNA